CGGAGGCAGCAGUGGGGAAUUUUGGGCAAUGGGCGAAAGCCUGACCCAGCAACGCCGCGUGAAGGAUGAAGUAUUUCGGUAUGUAAACUUCGAAAGAAUGGGAAGAAACAAAUGACGGUACCAUUUAUAAGCUCCGGCUAACUACGUGCCAGCAGCCGCGGUAAUACGUAGGGAGCAAGCGUUGUUCGGAUUUACUGGGCGUAAAGGGCGCGUAGGCGGCAAAUUAAGUCAGCUGUGAAAUCUCCGAGCUUAACUCGGAACUGUCAGCUGAUACUGAUCUGCUAGAGUGCGGAAGGGGCAAUCGGAAUUCUUGGUGUAGCGGUGAAAUGCGUAGAUAUCAAGAGGAACACCUGAGGUGAAGACGGGUUGCUGGGCCGACACUGACGCUGAGUGCGCGAAAGCCAGGGGAGCAAACGGGAUUAGAUACCCUGGUAGC
rnacentral:rRNA from 1 species